rnacentral:rRNA from 1 species
UACGGAAGGUCCGGGCGUUAUCCGGAUUUAUUGGGUUUAAAGGGAGCGUAGGCCGGAGAUUAAGCGUGUUGUGAAAUGUAGACGCUCAACGUCUGCACUGCAGCGCGAACUGUUUUCCUUGAGUACGCACAAAGUGGGCGGAAUUCGUGGUGUAGCGGUGAAAUGCUUAGAUAUCACGAAGAACUCCGAUUGUGAAGGCAGCUCACUGGAGCGCAACUGACGCUGAAGCUCGAAAGUGCGGGUAUCGAACAGG